rnacentral:lncRNA from 1 species
UGAUAUGUUCACCCACAACUUAACAGUGAUACCCAUGCAAAAGUUUUGUUCAUAUACUAUGCAAAAGAAUAAAAUUCUACUGUCGGUCCUAAACCUCCUUUCUCUCUUCCCACUUCGCUUUCCUCAGAACCCUUCUUUUAAAACAUGUUGGCAUCAGUCCUUCUCAAGAGACAAUGGAGUAGGUCUCCAGGGAUGAAGUCAAACCGCUGUGAUAGCAGCACCAAAGCGUCCUUCCCAAGGCGCAAACCUGGGCAGUGUGUAAAGGUAAAGGUAAAGGACCCCUGGAUGGUUACGUCCAGUCAAAGGUGACUAUGGGGUUGCGGCACUCAUCUCACUUUCAGGCCGAGGGAGCCAGAGUUUGUCCACAGACAGCGUUCUGGGUCAUGUGGCCAGCAUGACUAAACCGCUUCUGGCACACGGAACACCAUGACAGAAACCAGAGCACAUGGAAAUGCCGUUUGCCUUCCCACUGCAGCAGUACCUAUUUAUCUACUGACACUGGCGUGCUUUUGAACUGCUGGAUUGGUAGGAGCUGGUACAGAGCAACGGGAGCUCACCCCGUUGCGGGGAUUCAAACUGCCAACCUUCUGAUCGGCAAGCCCAAGAGGCUUAGUGGUUUAGACCACAGUGCCACCCGUGUCCCUGGGUAGUGUGUAUGGAGGUUCUCGGAUGCUCAGACCUUGCUCUUGGCCUUGCUGAUGUGGUCCAAAGGAAAGCAGAGCAAUAAAUUUGGCACCAACUUGGCUGCCGGAAUUGCCGCAAGGAGUUGUAUAAGUCGCCAUCCAACCAUAUUAGGGACUCCACUCUGGAUUUGUGUAGGGUUUACUCCCGAGCCUUUUCUUCUCCCCAAAAUAUCCCACAAGGCAGCAGAGGUAUAGGAUCAGGGUUUUCCAUCUUCCAGGUGAGCUAACUUCCCAGGUUGACAAGCCCCAUCUGCCCCUCACUUCCCUCCCUCUACAGCAGGUGCAGAAACCUUCUUGACCAUUGGACCCACUAUUGGUCUCGUCUGCUCCAUCUGCCGGAGCCUGUCUUUGCAUGUAGUGGAAGUCCCUAACUCCAGAGGGUUUGAGACCCAUCAGCUACCCUCACCUGGUUUAGCCGGCCAGUCCAUGCCUUCUCCUGAGGUGUACCAGGAAAAAAACACGCCAAGAACUCAGGCCAAUGUAAGCUUCAAUAGUGGGAGUGAUCCCUACUCACAAAUCAAUAGUCAGUAGUAACAAAUACUAAUCCAUUCAAAAGCAUGUACAGUGGUGCCUCGCAAGACGAAAUUAAUCCGUUCCGCGAGUCUCUUCUUCUAGUGGUUUUUUUGUCUUGCGAAGCAACCCUAUUAGCGGCUUAGCGGAUUAGCGCUAUUAGCGGUUUAGCGGCUAUUAAAGGCUUAGCGGCUUAGCGGCUAAAAGGCUAUUAGCGGCUUAGCGGCUUAGAAAAAGGGGGGGAGCGAAAAAAUCUCAAGACUCGCAAGACAUUUUCGUCUAGCGAAGCAAGCCCAUAGGGAAAUUCGUCCUGCGAAGCGCAUCGAAAAACGGAAAACCCUUUCGUCUAGCGGGUUUUUCGUCUUGCGAGGCAUUCGUCUUGCGGGGCACCACUAUAUUCUGACAAGGAUCACAAGUUCAAACAGAGACUACAAACUCAAACUCAUAAAGUCACCUCUGCCGAGGUGUGGCUGCUGUUGCAUGCUGGCAGCUUCUAGGAGCCACAGAUGAGAGGUGAAUGUAGUGUGGGGACCAAAGGUGGACCAACUACCCCAGGAGGAGCAUGAUGUUUCUCCCACUACCCCUUCUGUAACACCCCUUAAAAGGUAAAGGUAAAGGGACUCCUGACCAUUAGGUCCAGUCGUGAUCAACUCUGGGGUUGUGGCGCUCAUCUCACUUUACUGGCCGAGGGAGCCGGCGUACAGCUUCCGGGUCAUGUGGCCAGCAUGACUAAGCCGCUUCUGGUGAACCAGAGCAGCGCAUGGAAACGCCAUUUACCUUCCCGCCGGAGCGGUACCUAUUUAUCUACUUGCACUGGCGUGCUUUUGAACUGCUAGGUUGGCAGGAGCAGGGACUGAGCAACGGGAGCUCACCCCGUCAUGGGGAUUCAAACCACCGACCUGCUGAUCGGCAAGCCCUAGGCGCUGUGGUUUAACCCACAGCGCCACCCUCAUCCCUCCGUAACACCCCUUACACCCCUUUAAAAACAUACAGAAGUUAAAAUACUGUAACAGAUUAAAAGUUACUUUGACUUUACUAAGCACCUGGCUGCAUAGGCUUGUUUUAAGCAGGAAUGUUUGGGACAGGUGUCGAAAGCAGUGCAGCAAGAGUGCUUGCUUGCUCUCAACGGGCAGAGUGCAGGUGUUGCAACACUGAACGAUCAAGUUCUUACAAAUGUGGAAUGGGUAUUUAUGUCACCUGUAGUGGUGCCAGUUCUGAGCUGGCACAUAUGAGGUAAGGAGAUCUCAUAGGUCAACUGGUCCCAAGUUGUUAAGGGCUUCAUAUGCUAAUGGUAACACCUUGCGCUUGCCCCAGUAGCAAACUAACAACCGGUGCAGAGUGAGUGCAGCUGUUAUAUGCUGACAAGGUUUCACUGCUGUCAGCAAUCGUGCUGCAGCAUUAUGCAGCAACUUUGUGAGGUUUCUCUCUCUGUCUGUCUCUCUGUCUGUCUGUGUCUCUCUCUCACACACAAAAAUAAGAUCUUAUUGUCUACAGGGAGUCCCCCCCAUCGCAGUGGGCAGCCCUUGUUUACACAGAUAGUGAUGAUAAUGUGAAAUGCAUCAAACAAAAUUAUGGUGGGGCACAAAUAUUUAUCCAUCUGUCACCUUUUCUGACAAAGAAGGCCCGAUUUUAAAAAACAAAACCAGUUGAAUUACUGCAUUGGUAAAGUAUUUCACUUCCGUAAAGUCUGUGUUGGCAACUCAGUUUACUCCCUACUGAGGAGAGUGAGGAGUUAAGAAGUGAAAUAUUUUAUUACUUGAUGUUCUAGGAUAAGCAUGAACUUUAGCUUCUACUCAACCUUGUGUGUUAUCUAAAAUUAAUCUUCAGCAUUGCUAACACAAGCAUUAUAAUGCUUUUCUUUAAUUCUCUUCUUUAGAUCAAGGGGCACAGGAUCCAAUCCUGCAAGUUCUGACUAAUACUAAGAAGAAGGAGGAUAGUAUUUCCAAGAGCAGAGUCUCCAUUGUUGUUUCCUGCUUGUCUUUACAACCAGAGACUGUUUAAACAAGG